UACGUAGGGUGCGAGCGUUGCCCGGAUUUAUUGGGCGUAAAGGGCGCGUAGGCGGCCACGCACGUCCGUUGUGAAAUCGCCCGGCUCAACUGGGCGGGGUCAGCGGAUACGGUGUGGCUCGAGCAAGCUAGGGGGCAAUGGAAUUCCCGGUGUAGUGGUGGAAUGCGUAGAUAUCGGGAGGAACACCAGUGGCGAAGGCGGUUGCCUGGAGCUUUGCUGACGCUGAGGCGCGAAAGCGUGGGGAUCAAACAGG
rnacentral:rRNA from 1 species